CAAUAGCGUAUAUUAAAGUUGUUGCAGUUAAAAAGCUCGUAGUUGGAUUUCUGAUUCGAUGAGACAAAAUCAUUUCGAUGAUAUUUGGAUUGUUGGAUCAUUUUUGGUAUGGGACCCCAUACUUUAUUAGGUUAAAGGAAUGGGUGGACCUCAUCAUUUACUGUGAAAAAAUUAGAGUGUUUAAAGCAGGCGUUCGCACCGAUUUGAAUACAUUAGCAUGGAAUAAUAAGAUACGACUUUGGUGGUCGAUUUUAUUGGUUUACAAACCAAAGUAAUGAUUAAUAGGGACAGUUGGGGGUAUUCAUAUUUCGGCGUCAGAGGUGAAAUUCUUGGAUCGCCGAAAGAUGAGCUUAGGCGAAAGCAUUUACCAAGGAUGUUUUCAUUAA
rnacentral:rRNA from 1 species